GCCAGCCACGAGGCGAGUGGUUAGUGCGAGCGCGGUGCUGUCCUUCGCAACUCCUCGGGUGGUAUUUAGUGACAGUGAGGUUAUCUGCAGGGAGGCCUCGGGAAGCAUGGGGUGAGGGGGCCUGCAGCAAGGCUAAAAGCGUACGAGAGAGGAAAGCAGGACAGACACUUGAGAAAGAGAAAGGCCACAAAAUAAGUAACCCUAAAAGAAGAUAGAAAAUAUUCACAUUGAAGAAACAUUUAUCUUAAAAUAAUACUGGAGAGAAAAGAGGGGUAACGGAGCGGAGGACUCAACCCCAGCCUGCAUUGUACAAAAGAGAGAACGUGAUCCCAAGUCAUUGCAACAAAGAGCAAGAAAAAAGAAUAAGCUUAUGGUUACAUAUCCACAUACUGUUACACAGACUGACCUAAGGAGAAAAUUUAAAGACAAUGUGAAAGGCUCAGCUCUUACCACUCUGCGUUCAACAGACAUAUUUUCCUUCACCCCCAACCUGGGUGUGGGGAUGGGUCACUGCAAGCAGGAGGGAGAAUGUCACUGCUUGUGGCUCUGCUGGUUGACUUUGACUGUGAUACAGCUCAACUGCUCCGCAGCCCCAGAGAAGAUGGAAAGGAGCCUGGGUUAGAUAAUGCCUGGCAUGAACAGAGGAGUAAAAUCUGAGAAACAGAGAUUCUGUAAACAAAUUUUUCAGAGGCAGGUAGCAACAUUUGAACAAAAUCCCUGAUAAGGAAGUGAUUCCUACCAAAUUUUGAAUCAGUUGCAAAAGAAGAUGACAUUAUAAUUUUUCCAAGGGUGGAUGGUAAAAUGUCACAUGGUGGUUUGUUUUUGUAAAUACUUAAAAACCCUUUUUUUCCUAUUCUGAUUUUCAAGGGUAGAUGUUUGACAAGAAUCUAUGUCCCUUACAUAAACAAUCACAACAUGAGUCAUACAUAUACCCGUCAUCACAUUUUUGACUAAAGUGAUUGAAGUUUGUGAAGUUAGCAAGUAAUUGAAAAUAAGGUUUUUAAUGGACAGUAUCAGAUAAUCCCCAAAGUGGUGCUGCAACCUAGGCAAAACACAGGAAGCGUUUAUUCAUUUGUGCAACUAGUGAAGCUUUCUCAAGUUCCCCAUGUUUAGCUGCUAGUUGCUUAAGUUUGGGGAACAGAAGGCAUGUUGUAUACAUUCUAAUAGAAAUUAUCUUGAGGAUUUGGAGGAGUCUUAAAGACAAAUUCUUAUUCAAGUCUAAUGAUACUUAAUAAUAACAGCUCUUGUUUAAGGUAGGUGAUAAUUCCACUUCAUGAGAACAUUUACCAAUGACUGUCUCUUUUUAAGUCCUCUCAUCAUUGCUUUUAGUAUUUCUUUGGCUGUGACACAUGCAUAGAAAUCUAAUUGUAGUUGUUGCUACCUUUCAGGCCAUGUGAACUUGUUAACUGCUAUGAUCCAAUAGG